GAUGAACGCUAGCUACAGGCUUAACACAUGCAAGUCGAGGGGAAACGGCAUUGAGUGCUUGCACUCUUUGGACGUCGACCGGCGCACGGGUGAGUAACGCGUAUCCAACCCUCCCAUUACUGUGGGAUAACCUGCCGAAAGGCAGACUAAUACCGCAUAGUCUUCGAUGACGGCAUCAGAUUUGAAGUAAAGAUUUAUCUGUAAUGGAUGGGGAUGCGUCUGAUUAGCUUGUUGGCGGGGUAACGGCCCACCAAGGCUACGAUCAGUAGGGGUUCUGAGAGGAAGGUCCCCCACAUUGGAACUGAGACACGGUCCAAACACCUACGGGAGGCAGCAGUGCGGGAGAUUGGUCAAUGGACGGAAGUCUGAACCAGCCAAGUAGCGUGCAGGAUGACGGCCCUAUGGGUUGUAAACUGCUUUUGUAUGGGGAUAAAGUUAGGGACGUGUCCCUAUUUGCAGGUACCAUACGAAUAAGGACCGGCUAAUUCCGUG
rnacentral:rRNA from 1 species